CAGUAGCCGCGGGAAUACGUAGGGUGCAAGCGUUAAUCGGAAUUACUGGGCGUAAAGCGUGCGCAGGCGGUUUCGUAAGACAGAUGUGAAAUCCCCGGGCUUAACCUGGGAACUGCAUUUGUGACUGCGAGGCUAGAGUGUGUCAGAGGGGGGUGGAAUUCCACGUGUAGCAGUGAAAUGCGUAGAUAUGUGGAGGAACACCGAUGGCGAAGGCAGCCCCCUGGGAUAACACUGACGCUUAUGCACGAAAGCGUGGGGAGCAAACAGGAUUAGAUACCCGUGUAGUCCCUGUCUCUUAUAC
rnacentral:rRNA from 1 species